rnacentral:rRNA from 1 species
UACCAGCACCCAGAGUGGUCGGGACGUUUAUUGGGCCUAAAGCAUCCGUAGCCGGUUCUACAAGUCUUCCGUUAAAUCCACCUGCUCAACAGAUGGGCUGCGGAAGAUACUAUGGAGCUAGGAGGCGGGAGAGGCAAGCGGUACUCGAUGGGUAGGGGUAAAAUCCGUUGAUCCAUUGAAGAACACCGGUGGCGAAGGCGGCCUGCUGGGCAGUAGCUGACACUGAGGCGCGACAGCGUGGGGAGCAAACAGG